CACGGGUGAGUAACACGUAUCCAACCUGCCGUCUACUCUUGGCCAGCCUUCUGAAAGGAAGAUUAAUACAAGAUGGCAUCAUGAGUCCGCAUGUUCACAUGAUUAAAGGUAUUCCGGUAGACGAUAGGGAUGCGUUCCAUUAGAUAGUAGGCGGGGUAACGGCCCACCUAGUCUUCGAUGGAUAGGGGUUCUGAGAGGAAGGUCCCCCACAUUGGAACUGAGACACGGUCCAA
rnacentral:rRNA from 1 species